rnacentral:rRNA from 1 species
UGGGGAAUUUUGGACAAUGGGCGCAAGCCUGAUCCAGCCAUGCCGCGUGCGGGAAGAAGGCCUUCGGGUUGUAAACCGCUUUUGUCAGGGAAGAAACGCUCCGGGCUAAUACCUCGGAGUAAUGACGGUACCUGAAGAAUAAGCACCGGCUAACUACGUGCCAGCAGCCGCGGUAAUACGUAGGGUGCAAGCGUUAAUCGGAAUUACUGGGCGUAAAGCGUGCGCAGGCGGCUUUGCAAGACAGAUGUGAAAUCCCCGGGCUUAACCUGGGAACUGCAUUUGUGACUGCAUGGCUGGAGUGCGGCAGAGGGGGAUGGAAUUCCGCGUGUAGCAGUGAAAUGCGUAGAUAUGCGGAGGAACACCGAUGGCGAAGGCAAUCCCCUGGGCCUGCACUGACGCUCAUGCACGAAAGCGUGGGGAGCAAACA